AGGAGGAACAACCGCAGUGGCGGGGCCAGUUCUGCAGCCCUGGAGUCAGCUCCCGCAGUAACCACAGAGCUCUCCGUCUGCAGGGCCUGGAGGCUCCGGGGCGGG
rfam:Canis lupus familiaris chromosome 19, whole genome shotgun sequence.